rnacentral:lncRNA from 1 species
UUUUUUUUUUUUUUGCCAACCCCUGAGGUGACUGGGGCUGCAGGUGGAGCCAUGCCUAUCUCUGGCUUCUGAGAUGACCACCACGGUCUAUCCCUGCCACCUGCAUAUCGUGCAAGAGGCACCACAUCCCACUUAGUCCCCUGAUGCCCUUAGCCCACAUAAGAGGUGCCUGGCCACUCGUAGCCUGCACAAGAAGUGCUCAGUCUCCUGUAAAUGAGCAAGAAGCUUCUUGCCACCUGCAGCCUGCUCCAGAGCUACGCCACCUGGGUGCAGGUAGUUUCCUAUCGUGGUCUGCCCCUCCCCCUCUCUCCCUUGCCAACAAUGGCACCUUGCCUCUUCUGUGGGCCUGGACCUUCUCUCCUGGGUUCUCUCUGUUGUGGUGUUUCACUCCCCAGCCCAUAGCACACCACUCCCCACCUGUGGCACACUACUCCUUAGCCCCUUAGCCUGUCCCUACACAGCCAGCCCUAGUCUUCUCCCUAGGAUUGACCUCCAGAGCCUAAGUCUCAGCGCCCAGCCCCUGCCUGAGCCUCUCAGGCUAUGGUGUCCAGGCCGAUGGUUCAGAUGAUCUGUGGGGCUCUCAUUCUGUUUUGCCCUCCUCAGUCCAGCUGCUGUGCUUUUCUUGGUGACUUUGAGGUCCCUCUGUCUCAGCUGAUCUUUGUUUCAGUUAGGUGGCUUCCCAGGAUGUGGGUUCCUUUUCUCCUUCACAGCUCCCUCUUGGGAAUGCUAGUCCACUCCUAAGUCCUUUUCUCUCUCUCUCUCUCUCUUUUUUUUUCCUUUUGUUCUACCCAGUCAUGUCAAGAGUUUCUUGCCCUUUUUGGAGGUUAAGUUCUUCUUCCAGCAUUCAGCUGAUGUUCUGUGUGGGUUGUUUUACAUGUAGAUGUGUUUGUGGGAGAAGAUGAGCUCAAUCUCUUACUCCAACAUCUUGCUCUGCCCCUCAUUCUUCCUUUUUUCCUUUUUCCAUUUCUCAGUGGUCUCCUAGCCACCUUGUGGAUUCUUCUUUUGCAGUAGGCUGGCAUUUCUCUGCUCCUAUAUUUAUGCCCAUGUAUUUCCUCUGUGGAGAGCAGAUGUAUGGUUACUUCUAGGACUUAGCUCAAUUUCAUUCCCUGAUUUCCUCCUCCUUGAACUCACCUCUAUUUGAACUUCUCUUGGUUGAAUGCACCUGAAGACUUUCCCUCUGUCCUUCUCUAUCAGGAAUGUCCUUCCAUCUUCCUCUGAUGUUGACAUAUCCUUUCCAACUACAUUGAAUAGUUAGUCUUUCUACUCCUGUGUGAUUUUAAAACUUGUUUUAUUUCUCUGAAUUCACAAGGUGGGAACUGGGAGGGAGCUUGCAAAUGUCUAAGAGCCUAGCCUUUGUGGAUAAACAAUGCUGAUUAUGAUCUGUUUAUUGACUAUACUUGGCUUUGAGCAAGUUACCAUAUUUUUCUGUGCCACUAUGCUUUCAUCUGUAGAACAGGUAUGAUUCAUAAUGGUACCUGCCUUAUAAGGUCAAAUGUGAGAAUACAGGUAAAAUGGCUUAGCACAGUGUCCAGAAAAUAGUAUACAUUCAAUUGUAUUUGCUAUUGUUACAGUUUUAAUUGCCUCAUUAUUUGAAAUUUAUAUUAGUAUGGCUUGAGAAGAUACCGCGUACAAGGCAUAAGGCAUUGGAAAAAAAUGUUUAAAUGAUUCUUGGUCUAUGCAAAGUGUGUUCUCAGGGAAAACAGAUCUUAGCAUGAAUCUGUCUGUGUCUUCUGAGAACCUGAUAUCAAGAUGGUGUUAGAUAUCCAAGAUACUGGGGACACCUCUUGUGAAGGGUAGAAGGAGUGCAAACAGGAGUAAUUAAGAAGAGCCUUCUGACUAUAGGGUAGGUUUGACAUGUGUGCAAAGAUGGGAGAAAGAAAGUAUUGGACAGGAAAUGUCUCACUCUCAGUGCAGUUCUGAGAAAGUAUGCAGCAGACUGUUAAGCUUCCUAAGCGAUGGUGCUCCGUGAAGGAGUGGUAAGUCUGCAAUCACUAGCUUGAAGUGGCCUUACUAGAAAUGCUGUGGUCAACCCAAAGCAGUGGCAGAUGGAUUCUGUCAGCCAAUUACAUUUCUCUCAACAGCUUCUCUUGAAGGAGAUAAAGAAGGUGGACCUCCAUGGUGAACACAACAUGGAAUCACAGCUAUGUCUGAUGAUUUGUGAUAGAGGAACCUAGGGUUCCCAGGCUGUUCAAACCAGUUGUAGAAAAUUUCCCUGAAAAAGUGGUGAUAAAUAGAUAAGAACAGGGUAAACAGGAUUUAUCCAAGUGAAAAUGAGAUUAAGAAGAUCUCACACAGAUCAUAAAAGAAAGGUGAAUUAUGACCUGAGGCAAGUGGCAUUAACCAAGAGGAUUUGGGAACUUGGUGGGUUAUAUGACUACAUUGGAGCAGGAUCAGGGUGAGGGAGAGAAGCUGAGACAAGUCUUCAGGGCAGGUCAUGAAUGGAUUUGUCAAUCAUGGUAAAGACUUCAAGAGCUUUCCUUGUCUUUUUACAGAGUUCGAAGAGGUUUAAUACUGAGAACUAUCAGGAAGUGACUUUGUUUGGGAAGAUUUCUUUCCAGGUACUUGCAGAGAAAUUAUUACAGAAGAUAAGAUAAAAGUUUGGAGUUCAAGGAAGAAAUUAUGGUGGUUUGUCUUAUGGGUUGGAAUUAAGUAGGUGUAACUGGAAUAAACUGUGUUGAGCUUUGCCAUCUAAAUAUAUGAUCUGGAUGAGUGCUUGAGUUCCAGGUAGUUCUUCCAGGUAUGAUGCCUCCUUGGUAAGAAAGGCCAUUAUAAAGCUGGUGUCCAAGGGCGUGGCUUUCUGAAAUUGUGCCCUGACCACAAGGGCUGAGUGGACGCUUGUGAAAGACCAAGAAGUCUGGUGGAAAUCCCUGCUCAGUAUCUUCGCUCUUUAAAUUUUACUGACCUUCAGCUCUAAGUUACAUAAAUAUGAGUUAUUAAUUUAUUACACUCUUGGACAUAGAGGUUAUAACUUUCAUACAACACAGAAGUAAUUAUGUAAGUACAUAUCAGUGUCUUAAAAAAAAAUUUCCAAACAACUGGAUAUGAGCUUCUGAAAUUUAAUAGGAACUCUGAUCUUCUACCUCCCUAAAGGUAUUUUCUGGCUUAUUCUUCUUUCCAAGGCAUAUUUCUUAACUGUUUCUUUAUUAAUAUGACCUCCCAAGUGCCAUAUUUUGUUGUGUUGUUGUAAUCUUAUGUGAAGAUUUUUAAAACCAUUUUAUGAUAUAACCAAAAAAUGGGAAACACAUAACUGGGAAAAAUAAAUCCUCCAUAAUUCCAAAAUCCAACUUAAAACUUUUAUUAAUUCUACAUUUAUAUUUUUGGGCUUUUUUCCCUCUUGUAAGUUUAUCAAAUUUGAGAUCACAACAGAAUAAAGACAAUAUGCUCACAAGGCAACAAUAUGGAGGCUGUAACUUGAUUAAGAAGCAAGUGUCAGAGUUCCCAUCGUGGCUGAGCAGAAACAAAUCUGACUAGCAUCCAUGAGGAUGAAGGUUCGAUCCCUAGCCUUGUUCAGUGGGUUAAGGAUCCGGUAUUGGCAUGAGCUGUGGUGUAGGUCACAGACGUGGCUCGGAUCUGGCAUUGCUGUGGCUGUGGUGUAGGCCAGAGGCUACAUCUCCGAUUCAACCCCUAGCCUGGGAACCUCCUCCACAUGCCACAAGUGUGGCCCUAAAAAGACAGACCAAAAAAAAUAAAUAAAUAAAAGGAAGCAAGUGUCUAAGGAUUAACUACUAUAAAGUUUCUGUUUUGGUUCAGUAGGUUAGAACUUGACUAGUAUCCAUGGGGAUGCAGGUUUGAUCCCUGGCCUCACUCAGUAUCUGGUGUUGCCAUGUGUUGUGGUGUAGGUUGCAGAGGUGACUCGGUUCCUGUGUUGCUGUGGCUGUGGCAUAGGCCAACAGCUACAGCUCAGAUUCAACCCCUAGCCUGGGGACUUCCAUAUGCCAUGGGCAUGGCCCUAAAAUAGCAAAUAAAAUAAAACAAAAAUAAAAAUAAGGAAUUAACUAUUAGUAAAAUAUAUACCUGCAGAAAUCAAGCAUUUACUAUUCAUUGCCUCUCAAGUAUAAUCCCCUCAUUAGAAUAGAGGGGUAUGGAAAGAAUUGUAAGAUGCAAGCAUAUUGAAUCAAGAAGUAAUGCCAUUCACAGUUACUAAACUUGGGGUGAAAACUUGGGGUGAAAUCAAAUACAGACACUCAGAAAAGAGUCUUGAAGAUAGGCUGAGCUCCCUCUGACUACAUAGGACUUGUCUAUACACAGAGCUUGUUUCUUUCAUGUAUUCAUCACAGUGGAGUCUCAUGAGAAAAGCUAACUUGAUAUUUCUACUCAAAUUUCAACCUUCUCUUAAGGUAAUUACUAGGUUAAAACAAGAGGGAGCUUUAAAGGUUAUUAAUUGUGAUUCAUACUACAGUUCUAUGGAUGGUUUGAAGUCAGGAAACAAGUAAGCAAUUAUGUUUAUAGGUGAAAGCACUCCCUAUGUGCAUAUUUAGUGUGUUUGUUUAUGAAAGUGGAGGCUCUCAAGGUCUUCCUUAUCUUUAUUGAUUAAAAUCUACCUCAAGAGUGAUUCCGGGCCAAACCUUGUCCCAUUAUAUCCCAUUAUAUCCCCACUUAGAUGAUGCGAUAACUCCUUUUUACCUACAAGCUGAACUCCAUGUUAUGGAACAUCAUGUCCUUUGUAUGCAGCCAGAGGAGGUUUUUAGCAAAUGUUUGUUGACAUAAUGAUCGGUUACUCAGUGUAAUGCAAAGUUGUUUAGUUCAGGGAUCUGUAUUUUAGGACAAAGGCAGUGGAUCCCCUUUAUAAGAAUUAGGUCUCCUUAUUGAUUGUCAGCUUUCUGAAAGGCAUCCAUCACAUUUCUCAACACAGAUGGAAAAAUAGAAGCAUCCAAUGGAACCAUUGGACCACUAUCUGACUCCCUCCAGAGGUAACAAACAGGAUGGAUAUAAUGUAGAGCUAUGAAAGCUAGUGAGGAAUGAAGGAAGAGAAUCUACUCUCAAAGUGGAUCUUGUGCUAUUUUUACACUUACAGUCAUUGAAAUCGACUCUUGGGUGUAUGCAAGUUUAUUCAAUCCCUCUGUCCCAAUCACCCUUCUUUCCUUUGCUUCAUCUGUGACACACCACCACCAUCACCCUCAAUUCUAAGCAUCUAGUCUUGCCAUUUUUCUGACUCUAUUCAUAUAUUAGAAAUGAUGAACUUCAUUUUUCCACUGAGAAUACUUCGGCAAUGGUUUAAAGAAUAGAAUAGACGUGUCUUUUAGAAACGUGACAUUGCAUUUUAUUUAUUUUUAUUUUUUGAUUUUUUUGUCUUUUUUAGGGCCGCACCCGCAGCAUACAGAGGUUCCCAGGCUAGGGAUCUAAUCAGAGCUGUUGCCGCCGGCCUACGCCAGAGCCACAGCAACCCCAGAUCCGAGCCGCAUCUGCGACCUACACCACAGCUCACGGCAAUGAGCUUAACCCGCUGAGAUCCUUAACCCACUGAGCAAGGCCAGGGAUUGAACUGGAACCUCAUGGUUCCUAGUCGUUAACGACUGAGUCACUCUGACAUUGCAUUUUAGAAAGGAUUUUAAGUAGAUCACUAUCUUUUAUGUUUUAAGAUAAUGCUUCUAAAUUAUCAUAUCUUGACAUUUAAAGGCAUAGACUGGAGUUUCUUUUCCUUUUGUAAAAAUUAGAACCAAUUUAUUUUCAUUGCUCCAUAGGCUGACUUGAUACCUUUAGCUUAAAAGGAUUAAGGAAGUAUAAGAAUAGCAUCAAGUGCUCUCUGUUCUAUAUCAGGUUUGACCUCAAGACCUCACACUCGUUACUGUGUUCUAAUCAGUUUGAAUCAGUUGAAGUUAACCAG